rnacentral:rRNA from 1 species
AUUGAACGCUGGCGGCAGGCCUAACACAUGCAAGUCGAACGAGUGGCGGACGGGUGAGGAAUGUCUGGGAAACUGCCUGAUGGAGGGGGAUAACUACUGGAAACGGUAGCUAAUACCGCAUACCAUCGGAUGUGCCCAGCUGGGAUUAGCUAGUAGGUGGGGUAACGGCGCACCUAGGCGACGAUGCCUAGCUGGUCUGAGAGGAGGACCAGCCACACGGGAACUGAGACACGGUCCAGACUCCUACGGGAGGCAGCAGUGGGGAAUAUUGCACAAUGGGCGCAAGCCUGAUGCAGCCAUGCCGCGUGUAUGAAGAAGGCCUUCGGGUUGUAAAGUACUGUCAGCGGGGAGGCGUUACCCGCAGGGGAAGCACCGGCUAACUCCGUGCCAGCGGCCGCGGUAAUUC